rnacentral:rRNA from 1 species
CAGCUAGUUGGUGGGGUAAAGGCCCACCAAGGCGACGAUCAGUAGCUGGUCUGAGAGGACGAUCAGCCACACUGGGACUGAGACACGGCCCAGACUCCUACGGGAGGCAGCAGUGGGGAAUUUUGGACAAUGGGGGCAACCCUGAUCCAGCAAUGCCGCGUGUGUGAAGAAGGCCUUCGGGUUGUAAAGCACUUUUGUCCGGAAAGAAAUCGCACUUACUAAUAUUAGGUGUGGAUGACGGUACCGGAAGAAUAAGGACCGGCUAACUACGUGCCAGCAGCCGCGGUAAUACGUAGGGUCCAAGCGUUAAUCGGAAUUACUGGGCGUAAAGCGUGCGCAGGCGGUUGUGCAAGACCGAUGUGAAAUCCCCGGGCUUAACCUGGGAAUUGCAUUGGUGACUGCACGGCUAGAGUGUGUCAGAGGGGGGUAGAAUUUCUCGUGUAGCAAUGAAAUGC